rnacentral:misc_RNA from 4 species
AACGCACAUUGCGCCCGCCAGUACUCUGGCGGGCAUGCCUGUUCGAGCGUCAUUUCAACCCUCAAGCCCCUUCGGGCUUGGUGUUGGGGAUCGGCCUGCGGCGUCUGACGCCGUGGCCGGCCCCGAAAUCUAGUGGCGGUCUCGCUGUAGUCCUCCUCUGCGUAGUAGCACACCUCGCACCGGAACUUAGCGCGGCCACGCCGUUAAACCCCAACUUUCUGAAGUUUGACCUCGGAUCAGGUAGGAAUACCCGCUGAACUUAA